UAAAGGUGGGCUACUUCCAAAAUACCCAUUAUUUAAAAGCAUGUACUUCCCUACAAGAACUCCAGUAGAAUUACAUUACAAUCCAGUCUACAUUGGUGUGAAUCAUGAGGACCUUGGCCCUAGCUUUAAUUCUGUGUGCACUACUUCCACUGUUCCAUGCUUAUUGCUACAGGAAAGCUAUGACUUCUGACCCGGGCAAAACCCAUUGUCGUGACGACAAGGACAAGACAUCCUGCUGGUUCCCGCUGGAGGAACAGUGAUUGCAUGGACUGUGAUUGUUUAGAAUGCUGCCAGGGGUAUAUGACUCCCGUAGAUUUUCCUGAUGAUUGCAUGAAGGAGUGGGACCAAAAGGCAUGUGAAUUCAAGGUGGUUAAGAAGAGGGAUCCCUCCAUUUCAUGCCCUAUCUUCGCCUCUGUGGGGAAGUGAAUUGUUUACUUCGCUGUGUUCUCAGUAUACAAUGAAUAAAAUAUGUUGUCAGCUUACUUUGUGUCAAAUGUGAAUGUUCUGGUGUCUGACGAAUUGGGUUGGUUGAAAUGAAAUGUUAAAAACAUCAUGAUACGAAUUAAAAAUAAAGAUACGUGUUAGUGUGCAA